rnacentral:rRNA from 1 species
ACGCUCGACACCUACGGGAGGAGCAGUGGGGGAUAUUGCACAAUGGGGGGAACCCUGAUGCAGCGACGCCGCGUGAGGAAGAAGGUUUUCGGAUUGUAAACCUCUGUCCUCAGGGAAGAAGAUGACGGUACCUGAGGAGGAAGCCACGGCUAACUACGUGCCAGCACGCCGACGGUAAUCUGAGGCGGGCUGGCAAGGC